rnacentral:rRNA from 1 species
AUGGCGCCGCCCGGGUCACGACGGUGGGCGUACGUGCGGAUCAUGGCCGGCACCAUCGUUGGUGGCGGCCUCGGCUUCUACGUCAUGCUCCGCAUCGAGACCUCCUACAAGGUGAGGAUGGAGGAGAGGCUGCGUCGAUGGCAAGCUGGAGUGCCUCUACCAUGGCUGGCAGUUGGACGGCCAGGGCAAGUGCGUCAAGAUCCCACAGGUCCCACCAUUCCACACUUCUUUCUAAUCAAGUUCAGUCAUGGAUCUGUACAAAUGCAUGAGAUUCUAGUCCAAAAUUUAUGUGUGAUACUAUAUAACUGUGUUAUGUUUGAGAUUCUAGUCUUGACACAGUAG